rnacentral:rRNA from 2 species
CUGGUGUCAGCCGCCGCGGUAAUACCAGCACCUCGAGUGGUCAGGAGGUUUAUUGGGCCUAAAGCAUCCGUAGCCGGUUGUUUAAGUUUUCGGUUAAAUCUAUGCGCUUAACGUAUAGGCUGCCGAAAAUACUGGACAGCUAGGGAGUGGGAGAGGUACACGGUACUCAAUAGGAAGGGGUAAAAUCCUUUGAUCUGUUGAUGACCACCUGUGGCGAAGGCGGUGUACCAGAACACGUUCGACGGUGAGGGAUGAAAGCUGGGGGAGCAAACCGGAUUAGAUACCCGGGUAGUCCCAGCUGUAAACGAUGCAAACUCGGUGAUGCAUUGGCUUGUGGCCAAUGCAGUGCCGCAGGGAAGCCGUUAAGUUUGCCGCCUGGGAAGUACGUACGCAAGUAUGAAACUUAAAGGAAUUGGCGGGGGAGCACCACAAGGGGCGAAGCCUGCGGUUCAAUUGGAGUCAACGCCAGAAAUCUUACCCGGAGCGACAGCAGAAUGAAGGUCAAGCUGAAGACUUUACCAGACAAGCU